GCCGGUGUGGCGGAAUUGGCAGACGCGCGGGACUCAAAAUCCCGUUCCCAGCAAUGGGAGUGUGGGUUCGACCCCCUCCACCGGCACCA
rnacentral:tRNA from 1 species